CGCCCCCGGCGGCUCUCCAGCCAAUCGGAGCGCGAUAUGCAAAUGAGGCAGUGUGGGUUUUUGGGAGCAGGAGUGCAGGGUGCGCAUGGAGAAGGAAAAGGAAAAAACAAAACAAAACACAAAAAAAGCAGAUAAGAACUCAAACCCGUGAUCAGGAAAGAGGGAGAGAAAAAGGGAGAGUGAGAGAGAGAGAGAGAGAGAGAGAGAGAGAGAGAGAGUGGAAAAAAAACAGACUUUCUUCUGCAGCUUUUAGUUAAUGAGUCACACACAAGUGGAAAGUCAUUCUGGAAAAAGGAAAAAAAAGACCAGGAUGGAGAUUUCAGGAGCUCAGAAUGAUCCACUGAUGGUUUAUAUGCAUUUAUAUAGAGAUAAAUUAUGUAAAACACACACACACACACACACACAUACACAGAGGUUUACAUUUUAUUUUAGGAAUACCAACUGUUUAGUUCACACUGUUCAUUCCAGACUCACAUCUGUUCUUUUAACGGCAGCUCAUAUUCUACAAGUCAGAUGAGUGCUGGCAGAGCCGCAAUCCCAGCUGAGGAACAUCAGAUGCCAGAGAGUUCACACAGCAGCUGAGAAAGAUCAGACUCGCUGUCAGAGCCGGAGCUCGCCCAGGGUAAUAUCUGAUCCUCACCGAGUCACGCUCAUUAACUGUACUGUAUUAAUGAGGCAGAGGUGUGACGAGUCAGCAGGUGAGAACCUGAUCUACUGUUUAUUCUCGUUUACACUCAUAACCACAUUUAUUCUGAGUCCUGGCUCUCCCUUCUGAAGUUCUGCUGCACCUCCCAGUCUCUCUCUCUCUCUCUCUCUCUCUCUCUCUCCUCUGCUGCCUCGUCCUCCUCCUCGUCCUGCUGCUGCUUUUCUAAUUCCAACUUUAGAUCGUUCUUACUCCUGCCAUCAGGCACAGAGACUGGGGAACCACAACCACAGCAGACAGUUAGUCAGGGGAACAGGCAGACGUCAUGGACUUCUGUUUCCCUUCCCCCCAUCCAGAAACUACCAAAAGCCAACAGCAUCCAUCACAACUUGUGUCUGGAUUUUUUUCUCCUGCUAUAUGGAUAUGUACUGGUGUAACUGUGCAUCAUGGUGUGAUUCAUCACAGUGCAAAAAUCUGAUGUUGUGCAUCACAGGAACAUGAGAUUCACACUUUCUGUGAAUGACCACUGUGUCCAUCUAAUGCAGUUGCAUUGGAUUCCAAACUGCACAAAACCAUAAAACAUCAGAGAACAACAGGGAUCAUGUUGGAGAUCACCACUGAUACAUGCUUCUGCUGUAAACCUGCACCAUCCUACCAGUGUGCUCCAGGUCCACCUUCUCUCCCCAAGUGUUUGGACAAGAGGAAGGCCUGAACCAGCAGGACGGUAUUUAUAUGUGUGUGUGUGUGUGUGUGUGUGUGUGUGUGUGUGUGUGUUACUAUCUGGUAUAUAUUUGUAUCUGAUUUAACCAAACCAUAUAUCAGUGUCACAUCUUGCAGCAUGUGUCUCUAAUUCAAGUGUCUGGUGGAGCUUCUAAACCUCAACAUCUAAACAUCAGCUAAAGCCCCUGCUAUCAACCCCAGCAGCAGGAAGAGUCUCUGAGAUGAAGGAUCAGUGUGAGGGUUGGGAUCAGGUCCAUGAGUCUAUGAUUGUUUAAAUGGUUUCAUAUUUAAAUGUCUAUUUACAAUAUCAUUUGUCACUGUCACUGUCACUGUCACAAUAUCAUUUAAAACAAACUGAGAAGAAAAGUGGAUGAUCAGUUCCCCCCUGAGGUUCUUCUCUAUAAACUGAGAUGUUAUGAAUUCCUGCUGAACACGUGACAGAAUGUUCCUAUACGACAUGCCGUUCUCUCUUUACUGCGUCUGUAGAACUCAAACAGGAACUUUUAUCAACUUCUUAGGUGAAGGUAUUUAUACAUUUAGCUGCAAAUCUUUGUAAUUAGCUCUUUGUGGGAAGGUGUUUUUUUUUCCAAAGAAAAAUAAUUUAUAGUUGUGCGUAAACCGUCCGAGCUCAAAAAUAAACCCGGCGUUAAACAUG